rnacentral:rRNA from 1 species
UGGGGAAUAUUGCACAAUGGGCGAAAGCCUGAUGCAGCAACGCCGCGUGAGCGAUGAAGGCCUUCGGGUCGUAAAGCUCUGUCCUCAAGGAAGAUAAUGACGGUACUUGAGGAGGAAGCCCCGGCUAACUACGUGCCAGCAGCCGCGGUAACACGUAGGGGGCUAGCGUUAUCCGGAAUUACUGGGCGUAAAGGGUGCGUAGGCGGUCUUUCAAGUCAGGAGUGAAAGGCUACGGCUCAACCGUAGUAAGCUCUUGAAACUGUAAGACUUGAGUGCAGGAGAGGAGAGUGGAAUUCCUAGUGUAGCGGUGAAAUGCGUAGAUAUUAGGAGGAACACCAGCGGCGCAGGCGGCUCACUAGACAGUUUCUGACGCUAAGAUACGAAAGCGUGGGGAGCAAACA